GGACAAGAGGCGGCCGUUUGACCGAGUGCGGCCCGCGCCUCUCCCCCCCCCGGACACACGGAGGAAGCGGCCGCAAGCGCCCUCACGCUGCGGGCCUCCCGCCGCCUUUCACCUUUCGGUUCCGACAUCGGCAAUCUCUCUGUCUCUUCUCUCGAGCCUCCCGCCGCCGCCGCCUUCGUCUCCCUUCCCAAACUGCUCGUCCCCCAAAUACUUCCGGGCGGAGGGACGUGGACCCCGAGGAAAGGUUCCGCCCUAUGGGUUGGUGUGGUACAGUUGGAUGCUCUGCUGGGACCUGUCCCUGGUGGCUAUCUCCAUCCGGUCGAUAAGGAAGAGGACAGAGAUGAAGACUAUAAAGAAUACAACAGCUGCGUUAGAGAAAACAAUCAUAACGUCCAUGGAGGGGGGGGAGAAAGCCUAGUGGCACCAGAGCUCAGUUGCAGAGUGGGUAGACCCAGUGUGAACUCGAGGGCUGGGCAUCUUGGCAAUCUCUCUAUCACCGAGACGGUCCUACCACCGACUCAUGACGGUGGUGACAGAGGAGAGUUUGGGUUCCUGUCCCAUGCAUGCUCAUGGACACGGUGAUGGAGGGGUGUUUGGGCCCAGUACGGGACCCAUCGGCAGCGGCUUCACCGGCGAGGUGGGCCUGAACUGGAGUGAGCUUUGGGCCGGUGCAGUUCCUGGCAGCAUCAGUGGCAUCUGCAUCAGAGAAUUCCAACAGUGUGGGAGCAGGACAUUCAGCCCAACAAGUCCACAGCGACCCUCUAAAGAGCAUCCCACCCAGACUCACCCCUACACCCUAUCCCUGUAAUGGUGCACAUCUUUGGACUGUGGGAGGAAACCGGAGCACUCAGAGGAAGCCCACGCAGAUAUAGGGAGAAGGUGCAAACUCCACACAGACUGCAGUCCCAGUCCUGACGAAGGGUCCUGCCCGAAACAUCGACUCCUUCUGUUCUUCUGAUGCUGCCUGAGCCCCAGUGCUUUUUCCAGCUCCACAUUUUACUGACUCUGACUUUCCCUCACUGUCUCCAAGUAAUGUCACAUCCCUCCCAUACAGUGGUUUCUAAUAACUCCUACCUGUGGACUUGAGUCUCCUAGCUCAGAGGUAGGUCACUACCACUGCACCACAGGUGAUCCUGCACCCAUAACAGGUUUAGAUGUUUCUUGUCCACCAAUUCAAAGAUAAAUAAAUGUUCCACACCUCUGGAGCAGAAGGGCCCUUUUACCCCAUUGACUCUGUACAGCUCAUUAAAAAAAAUUCGGCCGACUUUAAUUCAUUCCAAUGUGAUCCUUUUAAUACUUAAGGGAAGCAGUACAGACAGGACGGCCCGCCUAUCCCUUGCUGUGAUUGGUCUGUCUGCUCGCACAGGCAUGGAUCCGAUUCGCUGCGGGGUCUUGUCAAUCAUCAUGCGUCACGCGUCAGCCCUCCUGGGCGGCACCAUCUUGUUUCCUCGAACCACCGCCCCGCGGGUUAAUUCGCUUCGGGCGCUUUAAAGAAACAUCCCGGAUCGCGGCUUUUAUUGACUUUAAACUGUUGGGUAGCGGUUUUCGUUUACUCGGUUUUCUAUGGAGCAAAAGAAGAGUAUCUGGCUAAUGAUGCUUUAGCAGGAAGAUUUAAAAGCUCCCUGCCUAACCUGCCAUCAGCAACUCUUGGAAGCUCAGAGAAUAAGAAUAGAAAAUUGAGUGACAGAUAUUAGUGGUUUUACCUGAGUGAGCGGUAAAAGUGACCCUGAUCAACCAAACAAAAAUCAACCAAGAAACCAUCAGCAAUACUUCCGGAAAAAUACAUCAUAAAAAACACUCAAGAAUCUAGCUGUCUGUCGUGGCCUUGAAUAUAUCAAAUGGCCCAGCCCGCUGGGGUUGUGACGGAGGCCAUCCAAAUGAAGAAUCCUUCACGAUCUCCGUCCUAUAUGACAGCCUAUAGUUUUAGAUUAUCACUUCAGGAGUGAAUUCCAGGCCUGAAGGCUGGGGCAGCUGAAGGCAGAGCCAUUAACGCCUCCUCAAAC